rnacentral:rRNA from 1 species
UACGGAGGAUGCAAGCGUUAUCCGGAAUGAUUGGGCGUAAAGCGUCCGCAGGUGGCUAUGUAAGUCUGCUGUUAAAGAGUCUAGCUCAACUAGAUAAGAGCAGUGGAAACUACAAGGCUAGAGUACGUUCGGGGCAGAGGGAAUUCCUGGUGUAGCGGUGAAAUGCGUAGAGAUCAGGAAGAACACCAGUGGCGAAGGCGCUCUGCUAGGCCGACACUGACACUGAGAGACGAAAGCUAGGGGAGCGAAUGGG